GUGUCCAAUCAGGAGAUGCUUGCUGACUCCUUAGUUCCCGUCCUUUUAAAAAGCAGCUGCACACCACACAGGAAACGCUUUACAGUUGUGAGCAAUGCCUUUGAACAUGGCAUGGGAGGUUAGCCCAACACUGACUUGGACGCUCACGGACCAUGUCGGCGCAGACUGCGAGCGGCCCCACGGAGGACCAGGUGGAGAUCCUGGAGUACAACUUCAACAAGGUCAACAAGCACCCCGACCCCACCACGCUGUGCCUCAUCGCAGCCGAGGCGGGCCUCACGGAGGAGCAGACGCAGAAAUGGUUUAAGCAGCGCCUGGCGGAGUGGCGGCGGUCAGAAGGCCUGCCUUCGGAAUGCAGAUCGGUCACGGACUAGGGAGCCAGGCCCUUGAGCUUGCUCCCGGAAC
rnacentral:lncRNA from 1 species